UAUGAUGGCAGUAUCUCUGUCCACGACAGCAGUUAUGCCGUUUUGUCAAUUAUUUUAAAAAGCACGUGCACGCGAACUUUUAAUUAUUCUAUGCAGCAGUUCUCAAAAUUUGGGACCUUAAGGCGGCCCCCAAGACCUGUCAAAAUCAAAUUGUCAAAUCAAAAAAAUAUGUGUUUUUACCCUUUUUUACUUUUAUACAUAUCUCAAUAUCGACAACAAUUUUCAACCGGAAACCAUUGUGGCGCCUCCAACUGGCAAAUAAAUUUUGAAAGCGAUUAAGACAAGAUGGCUUUUUGGAUGGUUAACGAGGUUGGAGGCUUUAGCGCAACAAAUUAAUUGUCAUGAUCACGAUAGAGGCAUGAGAGUAUUGAAGACUAGCAAAUGUGAAGUUCCUAAUUCCUUAAGCUUCCGUAUUCCCCCAAUAAAUUAAGUGACUUAUUAUAACAACAAAAGACUAGUGCAAUGAGUGGGAUGUCAUUCCCGAUAUGAAGGAGGAACUGAAGAAGCCGUAUACUAGAACGUGACCGGUUUAAAGCAAGAAAAGCACCUAAACGAAGACCUUUACGAGCUAUAUUACAUCACGUCGACGCGCCAAGCGACCUGGACGACCAUCAUAGGUCAAGCUGCAAAGCUACGGUUCUUUUGUAAUUGUUGUAACUCAGCAGACAAAGAGAUGUGCCUGACAAAGCUUCCAGGAAGUCGAUUACAAGACGUGGAAAAGACGGAAAACAGCACACGAAGUAAAUCAACGAUAUUUGGAAUCGAGAAUUCAUGUAACUGUAGUUUUCAUUGUAAUACUGAAACUUAAUACUUUCGGAAAGAUUUACGCCAAGUGUGGGUGGGCGAGUUGGAAGGUUUUGUAAGCCAACUGAGAUGAUGUAAUUUUGCUCAUGAUACAGUUGAUAAGUACGCGAGCGAGAUAAAGGUAUGUGUAUCCGAUAAAUAAAUAACUUUAAAUGAGAAAGGCAAUUUAUUGCAGCAGUUGAGAGGAUACCUCAUAAAGCACGUUCAUGAGAAUUCCUUGUGCAGUCUAUCGACGUAAAAGAAAGCUUAUUUUAUUACGCUAUUUUAAAAGCACUUAGACAAAAUCAAAAUGUUUUAGCUGAUGGACGUUAUUUAAAAUCGAUAC